rnacentral:rRNA from 1 species
CUGAGAUGUCCUACAAUAAAGCUUAAUACACCUAUCUCAUUUGAUUUUGGAAGCUAAGCAGAUUCAGGCCUUGUUAAUACUUAGAUGCAAAGCCAACAGGUAAUGCGAGAAAUCUCCAGGUACAGCUAGGA